GAUGAAGAACGUAGCGAAAUGCGAUAAGUAAUGUGAAUUGCAGAAUUCAGUGAAUCAUCGAAUCUUUGAACGCACAUUGCGCCCCCUGGUAUUCCGGGGGGCAUGCCUGUUCGAGCGUCACUUCACCACUCAAGCCUCGCUUGGUAUUGGGCAACGCGGUCCGCCGCGUGCCUCAAAUCGACCGGCUGGGUCUUCUGUCCCCUAAGCGUUGUGGAAACUUUCGCUAAAGGGUGUUCGGGAGGCUACGCCGUAAAACAACCCCAUUUCUAAGGUUGACCUCGGAUCAGGUAGGGAUACCCGCUGAACUUAAGCAUAUCAAUAAGCGGAGGA
rnacentral:misc_RNA from 1 species